CUGCAUCUCUUAGUGCAGUCAGUGAGUCUAGUUUGUCUUCCAGUUCAUACUAACCUACCUUGUGAAAAGGAAGGGUCACAUAAUGAAUUGUGUACUUUACAGUCUUCUCUAACAAAAGUGGGAGCUCUUCCAUAGUGGGAUACUGUUCAGGCUCUCAUUCAAUCAUUACUGAGCACCUACCACGUGUCAGGCAUUAGCUGAACUGCUGGGAAUUCAGGGGUGAGGCAGACCCAAUCCCUGCCCUCACCCUUAACAUCUCCUGUAGCCUAGCCCAAUGUCUAGCCCAGGGCCUGGCACAGUAGGGCUUACGGAUGGCAAUCUCAUUGGAAAGUUUGUCUUGAAACUGCCUUUGCAAAACAAACACUGCUUUAACUUACCUUCUAUGCUAAAUAUAUUAAUAAACAUUUUCUCAA
rnacentral:lncRNA from 1 species